CAGGUGUCGAGCACCCGGUGCUCGGUCGCCUCGUGGGCGACGUGCCCGGCGAUGAGCACCGUCGUGUCCAGUUCGUCCUGCAGCGCCCGG
rnacentral:tRNA from 1 species